GACAGAGGGUGCAAACGUUGUUCGGAAUUACUGGGCGUAAAGCGCGUGUAGGCGGCCUGCCAAGUCUGCUGUGAAAGCGCCUGGCUUAACCGGGCGAGGUCGGUGGAAACUGGCGGGCUGGAGGCCGGUAGAGGGGGGUGGAAUUCCCGGUGUAGUGGUGAAAUGCGUAGAGAUCGGGAGGAACACCAGUGGCGAAGGCGGCCCCCUGGGCCGGGCCUGACGCUGAGACGCGAAAGCGCGGGGAGCGAACGGG
rnacentral:rRNA from 1 species